CUGCGGAGGGAUCAUUAAAGAGUUCUAUAACUCCCAAACCCCUGUGAACAUACCAUGCGUUGCCUCGGCAGGUCGUGCCCGUCUCUCAGUAGCUUCACCUCGUGAGGCCUGCGGGCGGGCGCGGGCAAGCCUGCCGGCGGCCCCCUAAAACUCUGUUUAUCACUGGAAUUCUGAAUCAGUAACGAAUUGUUAAAACUUUCAACAACGGAUCUCUUGGUUCUGGCAUCGAUGAAGAACGCAGCGAAAUGCGAUAAGUAAUGUGAAUUGCAGAAUUCAGUGAAUCAUCGAAUCUUUGAACGCACAUUGCGCCCAUUAGUAUUCUAGUGGGCAUGCCUGUUCGAGCGUCAUUUCAACCCUUAAGCCCCUGUUGCUUAGCGUUGGGAGCCUACGGCGACGUAGCUCCCCAAAGUUAGUGGCGGAGUCGGUUCACACUCUAGACGUAGUAGAUUACCAUCUCGCCUAGGGUUGUGCCGGUCCCCUGCCGUAAAACCCCCUAGUUUUCUCAAGGUUGACCUCGGAUCAGGUAGGAAUACCCGCUGAACUUAAGCAUAUCAU
rnacentral:rRNA from 1 species